rnacentral:rRNA from 2 species
UAAGCGACUAAGCGUACACGGUGGAUGCCCUGGCAGUCAGAGGCGAUGAAGGGCGUGCUAAUCUGCGAUAAGCGCCGGUAAGGUGAUAUGAACCGUUAUAACCGGCGAUACCCGAAUGGGGAAACCCAGUGUGAUUCGUCACACUAUCAUUAACUGAAUCCAUAGGUUAAUGAGGCGAACCGGGGGAACUGAAACAUCUAAGUACCCCGAGGAAAAGAAAUCAACCGAGAUUCCCCCAGUAGCGGCGAGCGAACGGGGAGGAGCCCAGAGCCUGAAUCAGCAUGUGUGUUAGUGGAAGCGUCUGGAAAGGCGCGCGAUACAGGGUGACAGCCCCGUACACAAAAGCGCAUGUGCUGUGAGCUCGAUGAGUAGGGCGGGACACGUGGUAUCCUGUCUGAAUAUGGGGGGACCAUCCUCCAAGGCUAAAUACUCCUGACUGACCGAUAGUGAACCAGUACCGUGAGGGAAAGGCGAAAAGAACCCCGGCGAGGGGAGUGAAAAAGAACCUGAAACCGU